rnacentral:rRNA from 1 species
CAGCCGCCGCGGUAAUACGAAGGGUGCAAGCGUUAAUCGGAAUUACUGGGCGUAAAGCGUGCGUAGGCGGUGAGUUAAGUCUGCUGUGAAAUCCCCGGGCUCAACCUGGGAACUGCAUUUGUGACUGGCAAGCUAGAGUCUGGCAGAGGGGGGUGGAAUUCCGCGUGUAGCAGUGAAAUGCGUAGAUAUGCGGAGGAACACCGAUGGCGAAGGCAGCCCCCUGGGCCAACACUGACGCUCAUGCACGAAAGCGUGGGGAGCAAACAGGAUUAGAUACCCCUGUAGUCCCUGUCUCUUAUAC